UCGACGUACAAAGGGAUGCAACAUUAUUUUUAAUUUUCCAUCUGGUUUUCUUUUACACCAUAACCAUAGCGGGAAUUCUGCUCUGCGUAUAUAUUUACUCCAAUGCCAAAAAAUAUUAAUGAGAAUAAUAUUAUUUUUGCAGCUGUGGUGCGCCGCCUUUAAGUGACUCGUCCACGCAACAGCGUAGACCGACGUCAAGGAAGUGGACAGAAGAAAACAGCAACAUCAGCAGAAAUGGUUCGAAAAGUAAAGAAGCGACUUGAGCGAAACCCGCGUCGUAGUGGCCGAAAAAUGGCUCGUGAUCUGAAAAUAUCGCAAUAUUCCAUUCACAAAUAUUGAAAAAUGAGCUCGGGGUAAAGCCAUUGAAAGAGUGCAAGAACUUACACCGCAACAGAAAUAAAAUAGACUCAAUAGAGCUAAAGAGUUGCUUCACUUGGCCGAAAGUGGUGAACUGCCGAACUUGGUUUAAUCCGAUGAGAAAACAUUCGUUGUUCAGUACACCUAAGUCUGUUUUUACACGGUCUUUUUGUACACGGUUUUGAUAUAACACGGUUUGAAAAUUGAAUACUUUUAAUUUAUUUACACGAUUUUAUUCCAUUUAGCACGAUUUGAAAUUUUAUGUACUUAAAUUUUUUGUCAAAUUUAAUUUUUGCGAAGUAUGUUCAUAUCACAAAAAAGUAUUUAUGAAAGAAAAAAGUCUGAAACCAUCGAUAGUAUCGAUAGUUUGCGAACACUAGCUUAAAGAUUUAAGUGAAUUCCCCUUUAGCGCGUACAAUUUUUACUGGUCAAAGCAAAUGUGAAUAGCACUAUGUGCAUACAAUAAAAUUUACUGGUCAGAGCAAUUGAAACGUGUUAAUAUUUUGUGAACUGUUAAUGCAAUAAGACGUGUUUGGUAAAGAAAAAAAUAAAAAUUCUUGUUUUUCACUAAUUUUAAUAGGUUUUAGAGAUUAGGAACAAAUCACCCAUUUUUGUAUAAGAUCAAUGUCUUUUUUACACGGCUUCUUCUGGAACCAAUCUACCGUGUAAAAACAGACUUAGGUGUAGUUUGUAAACUAACAAAAUGAUCGUUUCAACCCAAGCGCCGGCCAUGGUGAUGGUGUGGGCCGCCAUAACAGCCGGUGGUCGCUCUCCGCUCGUAUUAAUCGACUGUGGCAUCAGAAUAAAUGCCGAAUAUUAUCGCGCAAAUAUUAUGGAGGGUGUAUUAAAGCAUUGGGCACAAAAACAUUUUGGCCGCAGACCUUAGACAUUCCAACAGGACUCCGUACCAUCGCACUCAGCACGCACCACCCAAGAAUGGUUACAAAAUGAGGUUUCUCGCUUCAUUUCUUGCUCACAAUGGCCACCAAAAUCUCCGGAUACCAAUCCGUUGGACCAUUGUGUCUGGAGUAUUUUGGAAAGCAAGGUUGGCACUAAAGAAUACCAAAUUGUCGAUCACCUCAAGCAAGCGCCUCGCCGGGAAUGAGCCAAAAUACCACAGAGUAAGAUUUGGGCAGCGUGUGACGGUUUCAUUGACCGUUUGAAGGCCAAUUCGUGCCAAAGUUAUCGCUGAUUUUCCAGCCAAAUGUAAAAAGGGCAGAUACUACAACAAGGCGCUUAAGUGUCAACUAUACUUGAGAGGAUAUUAAAUCUGUCCAACAUGUCUGGGGAUAGCAGAUCAGUGAGGAACUUUCAUGACAGUCUUCAAUUUAACAGAAUUGAAUUGGUACAUUCACUUCAACAUGUUCGAGAAUUUUGUUGACCCAACGUUGCUAGGGUACAAUGUUCUCUUAAUGGAAGAGACGUUAAAAUUCUACGAAAUAUAACACAGUUUGAUUGUACACUAUCUCAGCAGAGAUCAGGCAGGAACUUGGCAACACAAGUUAAUCUGCCAAAAAUUACAAUCCCUCAAUUCGAUGUGGCAAACAUUUUUGGGAAAAUGAUCAACGAUCAGGCUUUGACUGAGGCGAAUUACGACAUUGCUCGGAAGGUAUUCCGAGACAGAUACAACAACAAGAGCGCUUAAGUGACAACUAUACUUGAGAGGAUAUUAUAUCUGUCCAACAUGUCUGGCAGUAGCAAACAACAGCUAUUUAUCAUCAUACCAUCAGCCAUCUAGCUCUUUGCGUUGGAAUUGAAGUAGCCAUCAACUUUCGCCACUACCCAUACCUACACCCCGGCAAUCAGUGUCAUCAUUAUACGUCAUUGACCAAACAGUUUAUUGAACGUUCCCCGUUCAACGUGGAGGGAGAAUGUUCAAAAGAACAUAUUUUUUGCAUAUACACUUUAUACUUUUUUUGUUAUUUAAUAGUUUUAUCAUAUGUCAGCAUAUAGCUGACCUAAAUAAUUUUAAUGCUUGCUUUGAGCAGGUCAAUAACCUAAAUAAAGAAACACCUCGAUUUGUUUUUGCUUACUUACAA